UACGGAGGGGGCUAGCGUUGUUCGGAAUUACUGGGCGUAAAGCGCACAUAGGCGGCGAUUUAAGUCAGGGGUGAAAGCCCGGAGCUCAACUCCGGAACUGCCCUUGAGACUGGAUUGCUAGAAUCUUGGAGAGGCGGGUGGAAUUCCGAGUGUAGAGGUGAAAUUCGUAGAUAUUCGGAAGAACACCAGUGGCGAAGGCGGCCCGCUGGACAAGUAUUGACGCUGAGGUGCGAAAGCGUGGGGAGCAAACAGG
rnacentral:misc_RNA from 1 species